CUACGGGAGGCUGCAGUGGGGAAUAUUGGGCAAUGGGCGAAAGCCUGACCCAGCAACGCCGCGUGAAGGAAGAAGGUUUUCGGAUCGUAAACUUCUAUCCCAGGUGAAGAUAAUGACGGUAGCCUGGAAGGAAGCCCCUGCUAACUACGUGCCAGCAGCCGCGGUAAUACGUAGGGGGCAAGCGUUGGCCGGAAUGAUUGGGCGUAAAGGGCGCGUAGGCGGCCUUCUAAGUCCGAUGUGAAAGUCCUGCUUUUAAGGUGGGAAUUGCAUUGGAAACUGGAGGGCUUGAGUGCAGGAGAGGUAAGUGGAAUUCCCGGUGUAGCGGUGAAAUGCGUAGAGAUCGGGAGGAACACCAGUGGCGAAGGCGACUUACUGGACUGUAACUGACGCUGAGGCGCGAAAGUGUGGGGAGCAAACAGGAUUAGAUACCCCGGUAGUC
rnacentral:rRNA from 1 species